GUCGGCGCAAGCCGACUAUGGUGAUAAACGGACGGUGUAAUAAACCCAUUGGACCCGGGGGCGGUACCCGGCGCCUCCACCA
rnacentral:tmRNA from 251 species